CCCUGAUAUUCGAUGGACAACGGUUUAAUAUUACCGUACUUUUUAUAGAUGCGAUGUGGGGACGGAGUAGUGACACUGCCGCGAACUGACGGAAUAGUUCGUUAAAGACUGUAGGUAUUAGAAUGGUAGGCAAAUCCGCCAAUCUAGCUGAACGUCGAUAGUACCGCAAGCCUUCGGGUGAGUGGAUAGUGCAGGUAAUCAGACUUCCAAGAAAAACCGCUAAGCUCCAGUCUAUAAAAACCCGUACCGCAAACCGACACAGGUAUCCGGGAAGAGAAUUCUAAGGUGCUCGAGUGAAUCAUGGCUAAGGAACUCGGCAAAAUGGCCCUGUAACUUCGGGAGAAGGGGCGCUGGUAGCAAUAUCAGCCGCAGUGAAAAGGCCCAGGCGACUGUUUAACAAAAACACAUGGCUUUGCAAAAUCGAAAGAUGAAGUAUAAGGCCUGACACCUGCCCGGUGCUGGAAGGUUAAGAGGGGAUGUCAUCCGCAAGGAGAAGCAUUGAAUCGAAGCCCCAGUAAACGGCGGCCGUAACAAUAACGGUCCUAAGGUAGCGAAAUUCCUUGUCGGGUAAGUUCCGACCUGCACGAAUGGUGUAACGAUCUGGGCGCUGUCUCAGCCAUGAGCUCGGUGAAAUUGUGGUCCCGGUGAAGACGCCGGGUACCCGCAACGGGACGGAAAGACCCCAUGCACCUUCACUACAAUUUAACAUUGACAUUGGAUACAGGAUGUGUAGGAUAGGUGGGAGGCUUUGAAGCGGCGUCGCUAGGCGUCGUGGAGCCAACGUUGAAAUACCACCCUUUUUGUAUUCGGUGUCUAACCCCGCCCAGCGGGGGACAUUGUUUGAUGGGUAGUUUGACUGGGGUGGUCGCCUCCAAAAAGGUAACGGAGGCUUUCAAAGGUAAGCUCAGUACGCUUGGUAACCGUACGCGGAGUGCAAUAGCAUAAGCUUGCUUGACUGUGAGGCAGACAAGCCGAGCAGGGUCGAAAGACGGAUAUAGUGAUCCGGUGGUUCUGCAUGGAAGGGCCAUCGCUCAAAGGAUAAAAGGUACGCUGGGAUAACAGGCUGAUCUCCCCCAAGAGCUCAUAUCGACGGGGAGGUUUGGCACCUCGAUGUCGGCUCGUCACAUCCUGGGGCUGGAGAAGGUCCCAAGGGUUCGGCUGUUCGCCGAUUAAAGUGGCACGCGAGCUGGGUUCAGAACGUCGCGAGACAGUUCGGUCCCUAUCUGUUGUGGGCGUAGGAAUUUUGAGUGGGGCUGACCUUAGUACGAGAGGACCGGGUUGGACUAGCCUCUAGUGAAUCUGUUGUUCCGCCAGGGGCAUUGCAGAGUAGCUACGCUGGGGAUAGAUAAGCGCUGAAAGCAUCUAAGUGCGAAACUAGCCACGAGAUGAGAAUUCCAUAUAGGACCGUAGAAGACUACUACGUCGAUAGGUUACAGAUGUAAAGCUGGUGACAGCACAGUCGAGUAAUACUAAUCAUCCU
rnacentral:rRNA from 1 species